UACAGAGGUCCCGAGCGUUGUUCGGAUUCACUGGGCGUAAAGGGCGCGUAGGCGGCCACCGCAAGUCGAUUGUGAAAUCUCCGGGCUUAACUCGGAAAGGUCAACCGAUACUGCGGGGCUAGAGUGCAGAAGGGGCAACUGGAAUUCUCGGUGUAGCGGUGAAAUGCGUAGAUAUCGAGAGGAACACCGGUGGCGAAGGCGGGUCUCUGGGCCGAUACUGACGCUGAGGAGCGAAAGCGUGGGGAGCGAACAGG
rnacentral:rRNA from 1 species